rfam:Spinacia oleracea cultivar SynViroflay scaffold12244.con0003.1, whole genome shotgun sequence.
GCGUAUGUAGCUCAGUGGAUAGAGCGUCUGUUUCCUAAGCAGAAGGUCGGAGACUCGGAGGUUCGACCCCUACUUGAUGCG